AACGAACGCUGGCGGCAUGCCUAACACAUGCAAGUCGAACGAGACCUUCGGGUCUAGUGGCGCACGGGUGCGUAACGCGUGGGAACCUGCCUUUAGGUUCGGAAUAACUCAGAGAAAUUUGAGCUAAUACCGGAUGAUGUCUUCGGACCAAAGAUUUAUCGCCUUUAGAUGGGCCCGCGUUGGAUUAGCUAGUUGGUGGGGUAAAGGCCUACCAAGGCGACGAUCCAUAGCUGGUCUGAGAGGAUGAUCAGCCACACUGGGACUGAGACACGGCCCAGACUCCUACGGGAGGCAGCAGUGGGGAAUAUUGGACAAUGGGCGAAAGCCUGAUCCAGCAAUGCCGCGUGAGUGAUGAAGGCCUUAGGGUUGUAAAGCUCUUUUACCCGAGAUGAUAAUGACAGUAUCGGGAGAAUAAGAUCCGGCUAACUCCGUG
rnacentral:rRNA from 1 species